rnacentral:rRNA from 1 species
CGCCUCUUGACUUAUAAUAAGAGGUCCAGCCUGCCCAGUGAAUUUUUAACGGCCGCGGUAUCCUAACCGCGCGAAGGUAGCAUAAUCACUUGUUCUUUAAAUGGGGACUCGUAUCAACGGCAUCACGAGGGUUUUACUGUCUCCUCUUUUUGAUCAGUGAAAUUGAUCUUCCCGUGAAGAAGCGGGAAUAAUCCUAUAAGACGAGAAGACCCCAUGGAGCUUAAAACCAAAUAACAACUUAACCACUUACCCCACUAGAAAUUUAAGCCCUGUUAUAAGGUUUUUGGUUGGGGUGACCGCGGAGUAAAGAACAUCCUCCACGACGGAAAGAACACACUCUUUAUUUAAGAACCACAAUUCUAGAAAUUAGUAUACUAACGUUUACUGACCCGAUAAUCGAUCAACGGACCAAGUUACCCUGGGGAUAACAGCGCAAUCUACUUCAAGAGCUCAUAUCGACAAGUAGGCUUACGACCUCGAUGUUGGAUCAGGGUAUCCCGGUGGUGCAGCCGCUACCGAAGGUUCGUUUGUUCAACGAUUAAAACCCUACG